CCUACGGGAGGCAGCAGUGAGGAAUAUUGGUCAAUGGCCGCAGGGCUGAACCAGCCAAGUCGCGUGAGGGAUGACUGUCCUAUGGAUUGUAAACCUCUUUUGUCAGGGAGCAAAGGGCGCCACGUGUGGCGCUUUGCGAGUACCUGAAGAAAAAGCAUCGGCUAACUCCGUGCCAGCAGCCGCGGUAAUACGGAGGAUGCGAGCGUUAUCCGGAUUUAUUGGGUUUAAAGUGUGCGCAGGCGGAAUGUCAAGUCAGCGGUAAAAUUUCGGGGCUCAACCCCGUCGUGCCGUUGAAACUGGCGUUCUUGAGUGAGCGAGAAGUAUGCGGAAUGCGUGGUGUAGCGGUGAAAUGCAUAGAUAUCACGCAGAACUCCGAUUGCGAAGGCAGCAUACCGGCGCUCAACUGACGCUCAUGCACGAAAGCGUGGGUAUCGAACAGGAUUAGAUACCCUAGUAGUC
rnacentral:rRNA from 1 species